rnacentral:rRNA from 1 species
UUGCUUCUCUUGAGAGCGGCGGACGGGUGAGUAAUGCCUAGGAAUCUGCCUGGUAGUGGGGGAUAACGUUCGGAAACGGACGCUAAUACCGCAUACGUCCUACGGGAGAAAGCAGGGGACCUUCGGGCCUUGCGCUAUCAGAUGAGCCUAGGUCGGAUUAGCUAGUUGGUGGGGUAAUGGCUCACCAAGGCGACGAUCCGUAACUGGUCUGAGAGGAUGAUCAGUCACACUGGAACUGAGACACGGUCCAGACUCCUACGGGAGGCAGCAGUGGGGAAUAUUGGACAAUGGGCGAAAGCCUGAUCCAGCCAUGCCGCGUGUGUGAAGAAGGUCUUCGGAUUGUAAAGCACUUUAAGUUGGGAGGAAGGGUUGUAGAUUAAUACUCUGCAAUUUUGACGUUACCGACAGAAUAAGCACCGGCUAACUCUGUGCCAGCAGCCGCGGUAAUACAGAGGGUGCAAGCGUUAAUCGGAAUUACUGGGCGUAAAGCGCGCGUAGGUGGUUUGUUAAGUUGGAUGUGAAAUCCCCGGGCUCAACCUGGGAACUGCAUUCAAAACUGACUGACUAGAGUAUGGUAGAGGGUGGUGGAAUUUCCUGUGUAGCGGUGAAAUGCGUAGAUAUAGGAAGGAACACCAGUGGCGAAGGCGACCACCUGGACUAAUACUGACACUGAGGUGCGAAAGCGUGGGGAGCAAACA